AUAAGAUAGUAGUUAGAUCAGUUCAUUUCUUCCUGUCUUGUUCCUGGAAAGCUAACAUCACAAAUUACUUAUCUUGAGAAUUAUGGGUCAGUCAUAACAUCUUUGAAGAGGAAGAUCAAGAGCAAAAUGCCUCAAGCCAGGAAGGCCCUCUUCCCUAUGGUUGCCUGGUUACCAUGAGAGAACCUCGCCAUGGUAACAUCUGGAAUAAAGGUGGGAACCACAGAGAUAGAGGGAAUGGCACCUGAUGAAAUGGAGCAAGUGGAGGAGUUUCUGGACCAGCACUGAAUGCCUGCACCAAGCAGAAGAGGGCCUGGAGCUAAGCAGCAGCAAGGCAAAGAGCAAUAAAUUAGAGCAAGUGUCAAAGUUUUUCCCAUUGGCAGGCUGGUAUUUCACCAUCAACAUGUCCCAAAGUCACCAGAACUAUGUCUGGAGUUGUGCCUUCCCAGAAGAGCUC
rnacentral:lncRNA from 1 species